GACGAACGCUGGCGGCGUGCUUAACACAUGCAAGUCGAACGGAAAGGCCCUGCUUGCGUGGGGCGCGAGAGGGGAACGGGGGUGUAACACACGUGUGUACCGUGCCUAUGAUUUGGGGAAAACUUCGGGACUGUGUGGAAUAUACGGGAUGGGAGUUCCUGCUGGUUGGUGGGGGUAGGUAUGUUUCGGGAGUUGGGGGUGGGCUCGCGGUCUGUUAGUUUGUUGGUGGGGGAAUGGCCUACCAAGGCGUUGGCGGGUGGCCGGCCUGAGCGGGUGGACGGCCAACUUGGGACUGAGAUACGGCCCAGACUCCUACGGGAGGCAGCAGUGGGGAAUAUUGCACAAUGGGCGCAAGCCUGAUGCAGCGACGCCGCGUGGGGGAUGACGGCCUUCGGGUUUUAAACCUUUUUCGACAGGGACGAAGCUUUGGUGACGGUACCUGUAUAAGAAGCACCGGCUAACUACGUG
rnacentral:rRNA from 1 species